rnacentral:misc_RNA from 1 species
AAAGAUGCCAUAGCCAAAGGGCCAGACCCCGAGAGUGGUACUUUAGGCCGGGGAGACCGAAUGCUGCUUGAAGGCCCCAUCCUUUUUAAGACUCUACCCUACCCUUCCAUUGCCUUUUUAUUUAACUGUGAUCUGUGGAGGAGCAAGGGAAAGGAAGACGAGGGCAGUGUCCUUAACCCCGAAAGUACCUUUUUUUACUCCAUUUUUUGUUUGACUUUUCAAGUAACUCACCCAAUGACGUAACUUGUAAAAUUUAAUCUGUGUGGCAAUCUUGUUAUUAUUAUAUAACUCAAUGCCUCCUCUCCUAAAUCCAAAGCCUACACAAUAUCAUCCUCUCCUUAGUGACUCACUCAACAAAGACUGAGCUACCUAUGCAUCCUUCGCGGGCUAAAAUUCUCUCUCUGAAAACUUUGCCGCUAAUAAAAGUCUAAUCCCAUCGAGCCAACUAUAUAUCUGCGUUCUUGUUUCGUGCACUCUCCGUUAAGCAGCCAUCUCUUUCUGCCUCGCGGGUUUUUUUCUUUGUUUCAUUCAUUUGUCCUCGACGCUGUUGUUUCAACCGCAAGCUCCGCCAAAGGAUCAGUUAUCCCUUUGUUCCCGCCGGAAUACUACUCAUCUAUCUGCUCCUAUGUAUGCGCAUCUCUCAAACGCCUGAAAAAUGGGCUGCGUCAUCGGCAAGACGGCGUCCGGGCAGCGCCGGAGCAUUGCCGGAUCUCCCAACUGUGGCCGGAGCUCCGACCAACCUUCCGUCACCGUUACUGAGGCUGUAAACGCUGUCAGGGAUAAGAAGGAGGUAAAGCAGAGGCAAAAGACUAGACACUCGGGUGAUUUUCAGGCGGAUGUUCCCACGGCAGAGCGUUGGCGGCCACGCCCGGAGCCUUUCCUGAGGAACCAGCAAGGUUGGCCUUCGUGGUUAAUGGCGGUCGCCGGUGAUGCAAUCGGUGACUGGACUCCUCGCCGGGCAAACACCUUCGAGAAGCUUGAUAAGAUUGGCCAAGGAACAUAUAGCAAUGUAUAUAAAGCGAGGGAUCUCAUAACAGGAAAAAUAGUAGCUUUGAAGAAAGUAAGGUUUGAUAAUUUAGAGCCGGAGAGUGUAAAAUUCAUGGCAAGAGAGAUUCUUGUUUUGAGGAGAUUAGAUCACCCCAAUGUGCUUAAGCUUGAGGGUUUGGUUACCUCAAGAAUGUCAUGUAGCCUUUAUUUGGUGUUUGAAUACAUGGACCAUGAUCUCGCUGGGCUAGCAGCUCGCCAUGAAGUCAAGUUUACUGAGGCUCAGGUCAAAUGCUACAUGAAACAACUUCUAUGUGGCCUUGAGCAUUGCCACAGUCGAGGUGUCUUGCACCGUGAUAUCAAGGGUUCCAAUCUGCUUAUUGACAAUGAAGGAGUUCUAAAAAUUGCUGAUUUUGGGCUGGCUACUUUCUUUGACCCUCAGCGAAGGGUUCCUAUGACCAGUCGAGUUGUCACCCUCUGGUACCGUCCUCCUGAGCUUCUUCUUGGGGCUACUUAUUAUGGUGUUGGUGUCGACCUUUGGAGUGCUGGCUGUAUUUUGGCAGAGCUACUUGCUGGGAAGCCAAUAAUGCCAGGACGAACAGAGGUAUUGUUUUGGUCUUGUUUAUUAUGCUUAAUGAUUUCUGUUCAAAUUUAUUAUGCUUGCUCAAAUGAUGCUGUUGCAUUUUACUGCAACACAAGUCUUGAGUGCGUAAACAUUGUCUGUAGUCUGACUAUUCUGCUUUUUGAAAUCUGUGGUCUGUCUCAUGUUUGCUUAUUGAAAAGUACAGUCACUUCAUUAGAUGUAGAUGAUCACAUUGAUGAGCUUAUUGGCUUGUGGUUUUGAUGUAAUAUAAUGAGUCAUUCUCAAACAUGCAGCUAGGUGAGGCAGAGGAAAAGGAAGGUGGUAGCGUAGACAAUUUUGAAUGAUUUUGGCUUGUUCUACAAUUAUAAAAUGGCUAGCAUACUUACAUUGGAUCAAAUUAUUAUAAAUUGCGUACAGGUUAUUCUAUUCCAGUGUUGAACAUUGCCAUGGAACUCCUUGUUCUGAGCCUAAUAAAUAUAACGUCUCCAGUCAUUCAUGUAAUCGUGGAAACCUUUUAGCCAUAUGAAAUUGUAUUUCUGUUGUUUUUAAAAUUUAUAUUGCAUUUAAUUUGAUUUGACUCUAUAUCCUGUUUGUCUUUCUAUUGAUGCUGUUGUUUUUGUUGUUGUUUUAUAAUUGGUAGUUUCACCUUUGACUCGCCUUUCAUUUCUAUUCCCAUUUAGGUUGAACAACUGCACAAGAUAUUUAAGUUAUGUGGCUCCCCAUCUGAGGAAUACUGGAAGAAAUCAAAACUGCCUAAUGCAACGCUUUUUAAACCUCAGCAGCCAUACAAAAGCUGUAUAGCUGAAACCUUCAAGGAUUUCCCUCCUUGUUCUCUGACCUUAAUCGAAACUCUUCUUUCAGUUGACCCUGAUAAUCGUGGCACUGCCACUAGUGCUCUAAAUAGUGAAUUCUUUACCGCCGAACCUUGUGCUUGUGAGCCAUCAAGUUUGCCAAAGUAUCCUCCCAGCAAAGAAAUGGAUGUGAAGUUGAGAGAAGAGGAAGCAAGACGGUUUGCUUAUUUUCUCUUCAUGCCUUCUGUAUUUGUUUUGUGCCGGUCUUGACUAUUUGUGACUGCUGAUAAUUUUCUUUUUUAUUUCUCAGGCAAAGAGGCCUUAGUGGAAAAGCAAAUAUGGUUGAUGGUGCUAGAAGAGUUAGAAUUCGUGAUCGGUUUGGCAGGGCAAUUCCAGCUCCUGAAGCCAAUGCAGAGAUUCCAUCAAACUUAGAUGUAUGUAAAAGACUUUUCUUUUUGUUGAUAAAUUAUUUUAUUUUCAGUUUAGUUAAAUUAUUGUGCAAGAUGAUAGUGGAGAUUUAACCCAACUGAACCAAUCCAUCUUUGUCUCAUUUAUUUCAUUGACCAAUGGAAAGUUGAAUAGUAUUCUGUUGAAUUAGUGUACUCUUUAGACUUUAGGUUCUUUUAUCACCAUCAAUAGGAAUGCUGGUCUUUUGACAUUUCUUUUAUCUGGGUUCUGUAAUCUAUAAAGUAACAACUCUUUCACUGUCAUUACAAAAUGUGGUCGGAUGGUUUCUAUUAUCUGGUCAAACUAAACUUUAAACUGCGUUAUCUUUAGGUUAAUAGUUAAUGAAUCAACCAUAUAGAUUUGUCAACUGGUCAUGUUACAUUUCUUACUCUAUUGGUGGUUUUCCAAUGUAAUUUUUGACCUGAAAUUCUUAUCUCAUAUUUUUUUAAAUAAUUUCCAGAGAUUGAGAGUCAUGACACAAGCAAAUGCUAAGAGCAAGAGUGAAAAAUUUCCACCUCCUCAUCAGGAUGCAGCAGUUGGGCAUCGUAUAGAUGCAUCACAUAAAGCCCCUGUAUCAUUUGGUGCACCUGAUUCUUCUUUCAACUCAUCGAUAUUCACUUCAAAGUCAUCUGCAUCCAUUAAAAGCGCUGGAGCCAGUGGGGGCCCUUCCAGGAGGAAGAAAACCAAUAAGGAAGACCCCCAGAUGGCUCCCUCUCGGAAGUUUAUGCGCCCGUUUAAUCCAUCCACAGUAGGACUAUCCAUGGAUCUAUUAUUCAAGGGUAAAUCUGAGGUUUUUGGCAGGCGCAGGUAGAGAGAUUAACGAGUUGCGCUGUUUUUUGAAUUUAGGUGGGCAAUUUUCAUCUUGGGGCUUCAAUGCUUUUUUGUUUUUCCUUUUUAAUUAUUGUUUCCAUUUAUUAUAUUAUAUACCUCAUCAUAUAAGUAUUUGGUGUAUAAUCCCCAUAACAGAAGCCCCAGUGGCCGUGUAUAAUCUGCAAGUGAAAUCUCACUAUUCUUAUACAGUUUUUGGAAGAAGAGAUUGCUUCCUUAAUUGAGAACGGAAGUGGUUUGCCUCUGGAGGGAAAGCUUUUGCUCUAAUUGUUUUCGCGAGAAACAAAAUGAUUAGUCCCAGAUUAAAAUUAUUAGCAAUAGCUUUCUUUUUUCAAUACAAGAAAUGCGUUUU